AUAUAUUUGACUUGACCAUAUAUUCUUUUUUUUUUAAUGCCAUUAAUUAUUAUGCUAGGUCAGCAGGUGUACACUGGGAUGUUUGGUCCCCUAAUUAAAUGUAUUAUUUCUUUUUUAAAAAAAUAAGUUUAUUUAUUUUAUUUAUUUAUUUUUGGCUGUGUGGGGUGUUCGUUGCUGCUCAUGGGUCCUCUCCAGCUGCGGUGAGCGGGGGCCAGUCCUCGCCGCGGUGCGCGGGCCUCUCACCAUGGUGCCCUCCCCUGUUGCAGAGCACGGGCUCCAGGCGUGCAGGCUUCAGCAUUUGGAGCACACGGGCUCAGCAGCUGCGGCUCAUGGGCUCCAGAGCGCAGGCUCAGCAGCCGUGGUGCAUGGGCCCAGCUGCUCCACGGCAUGUGGGAUCCUCCCGAACCAGGACUUGAACCCGCAACCCCUGCAUUGGCAGGCGGGCCCUCAACCACUGCGCCACCGGGGAAGCCCUGACCAUAUAUUCUUGGUCUUGAAUUUAAUUUCAGAAUCUGGAUUAAUGAAGUUUUGUUUCUUUGUACAAAUUUAAAAAGGGCAUUUCUUCUCCUGGGCCUGAGCCAGGGCACCUGGGUUUCAGCCCCACUCGCUCCUGCAGCUAGGUGCCCUGUGCCCUCCCCACCCAUGGCAACUGCGGCAGCCCUGUCUCCUCGGCCUCCAGCCCAAGUACCCCAACACACACUUCUGACGUUCUUAUGUGCGCUGCCCUCAGUUGAGAUUUGUGCCGGUGGGAGAGUCCGCUGCACGACUGAACUGUCACACGGGCACCUGUGACCUGUAACAUGUGGGCUGCCGUUUGAUUUUGUCCCGCGUGAGUCUGACCAUGCGUGUGCACGUGGAUGGGUCCUGCAGGUCCUCUGUUCACGAGGAUUCGCUCGCCCACUGCCGUGGUCCUGCUGUCUGGGUAUGUGCGCUGUCAUGGAAGCAGGGCUGAAACUCUCCUGGUCUCUGAACCAUGUGAUUCCCAGGGACUAGAUCAGUCAAACUAAACAUUAAUUGAACACUUGCUGUGUACACGACACUGAACUAGGGACUUCAGGGCAGUGAUUUCCAGACACUGGGGCCGGUCGGUCUAUGAGAAUUUUCUCCCAGCACAGCCAAGUGUGGAAACCAGGGUGAUGUGGUCAGUGUUUCAUAAACCAAAUGUAUCAGUUUGAAGGACCAUCUGACCAUUUUAUUUUGAGGUUAUAGCCUGUCCAAUUUUUUUUUUUUUUUUAAUCUCUGAUGUCUUUUCUUGAAUGAAGUGGUGUUGAUAGUAGUUGGGGUUUUUUCCCUACUGGCCAAAUAAGUUGGAAACGUUAGGUUAUUCCUUCCCCUCCUCAAUUUAAAAAAAAAAAAAAAAAAAAAAAAAAAAGUUGCUAAUUUGCUAAUCCCAGUCUUCAAGAAAUUAAAAAUGAAGCAAGGGUAUAAGACUUAGUAUACAUGCACAUAGGAAGCUGUGUCUCAAGAAUGAUGUGUAGUGCCGUCCAAGAGGUAGGAAAGAUACUGCGGACCCUCCAAGGGAGAAGUAACGGCAGCCACGUGAAGAGUCAGUGAAAGGUUUUUUGAUGACAUGGGUUUUGAAGGAUGGGUGUGGGUCAGAAAGUUGUGCAUAGAGCUGGGGGGUGGGGAGGCUGGACCAUGCCGCAGGGCGAGAAGGCCCAGAGGCACAGGAGUGGAAGGCGUGCUCACAGGGCAGGAUGUUUUCUAGGAGGGGCAUAGGAGGCCUUUUGGGGUGUUGGAAACGAUGGGCUACGUGUUGGUAGUUACGUGGGUAUAAAUGUUUCAAUCUCUGGGAGCCAUACAGUUAGAAUUGGUGUGCUUUACUCUACAAAAGCUAUACUUCAAUAAAGGAGGAAAAGUAUCCUGAGCCUGGUGGGGACAAGACGUCAUGAAUGGAGACUCUCCAACGCUCGCUCCCUCCUCAAGGCUGGUGCCUUGGACCCAUUUAUAGUUAAUGCAUGUUGGCCAAAGUGUCACCCGAUUGGAUGCCAGAAGCCAGAAGGUCAGAGGGCCCCCCACUUGGCCCCGGGAGGCUUUACCGAGUCUGGAUGACUGGACACAAGAAGACACCGUUAAUUAAGGAAUAAUGAAGCCCGGGGAGGGCUCGAGGAGACUGAGGGCUGCCGGCGCUGAGCCUGGCUGGCACGACGCAGUCUGAGUUUCUGGCGAGAUGCUGUGUUUUUCACAGUGUACCCCUGAUGGUGAUGGCAAGGCACACAGAAGCUGUUUUUCCUUCAAGUUCUUUAUCUUGUAAAGUAAUUACGAAUAUUAGUUUCAUGUUUUCACACAUUUAUUACUCAUAUGCUCAGGCUCCAGAUGAAAUGCCUCGGUGGAGCUCCAGGCCCAGCCUCUCGGCGAGCGGAGCUGCUGUCUGUUGGAAGAGCCAGUGUGCUCACGGCUGGGUGGGCCUGGAUAGGGUGGCCUGUGAGCCCCCUGCCAGCUUGGGAGGGCACAGCAGGGAGCGUGUGCUGGCUCUGCCCGUGCCCCAUCUCUCUCUCCUCCUGUGAUUUCAGGGGUUGCUGGGAGGAUUUCACCCACUGCCUCGUUAAAACCCUGCGGUUCCAGGAAAAUUCAUUCUAGCCUGCAGCUGACUUGGCCCUGAGCUCCUCUUUCUCCAGAGAAAAUGAUGUGGAAUUCAAGUUGUCUGGGGCCACCUAAGCACAGACACCCUGCAGUCCCAGGGGGAGUGUGAUUCAGUUUUGUUUUGCUUUAGAGAAGCCGGUUCAGAGUACUAAAAGAGCAGCUGGGAAGUUAGCGUGAGUCGGGUGAAGGCUGCAGUUGUGACUGCUAAUGGUCGCCGAAGGCUGUCGGCCAUUACAGGCGGGGUGGGUCCCAGCUGGAGCGCACUGCCCGCCGUCCUUCCUGUUCACCGUGAUGUGUCCCAGUCCCAGGAAGGGAAUCCAGGUGGGCUCCCCUGGACUCCUGUUUCUCAGGGACAGGUGGUAGAAAAGGCAGUCGCUGUGGGACAUGCAGCACUGCACAGUUCCAGGGCUGUGUGCUGGUUCUCCAAGGAGACAGCUGCAGAAGAGCCCUUAGCUUUACUAGCGCCUCUUCCCAAGAUGUGCAGCAGGCUUCACGUGGAGAGGAAGGGGAGUGAGACAUGCUUUCCAACCCAGUUUUGUGUGGGAUUCGGGAAGUCAUCCCUGGGUUUCUGUUCCUGUGUGUAUCUAUCAUGAGACAUACAUGCGUGUGGACUCCUGGGUUCCUUACCUCUUUGAAUCAGGACUUUUUAGAGAUUAUUAGAUGUUUUUCCAGAAAUACUCAGAAUCCAGUAGUGAUGGCUGGCUGGCUCCAUUUCUGAAGUCUUUCUUCCCUGGCUUGUGAAAAUAAUUAUUUAAAGUACGGUGAUUGCAUAGUCUGUGGGACGUCCAUGCAACAGCAUCCUACUCAACAAUAAAAGGGAAUGAACUAUUGGUAAAUGCGAUGACGUGGCUGCACCUCAGAGGCAUUACGCUGAGUGAAAGAAGCCAGUUUCAGAAAGCGAUGCCCUGGGUGCUUCUGUUUAUAUGACAUUCUCAAAGGACAAGGCUGUAGGGAUGGAGAACAGAUCAGUGUUUUCCAGCAUAGGGCUGAGGGGAGAAUCCGACCAUAAGGGAAUAGCACAAAGGAGUUUUUUGGGUGAUGCCACUGUUGUGUGUCCUGCUUUGGACACACAAAUCUAUACAUGUGUGAAAAUUUGUAGAACUGCGCACCAAAAAGUCAGUUUUACUGUAUGAUCAUUAAAAAAUGAAAGUAGAAACCGUAACGAUGAUGACGAUAACCAGCAUUUAUUAAGGGCUUACUGUGGACCAGGAACUAUGCUUACGGGUUUCUCACGUAUCAUCUCAUUUAAUUCUUACAGUCUCCCUAAGAGGUAGGUGCCAUGAUUAUCUCAUUUUUCAGAUGAGACUAAAGCCCAGAAUAGUUACGGAACUCGCCCCUCAUCAUACAAGCAGUAAGUAGUUCUGCUGUGUGUGAUCCUGGCUGGGGCUGCAGUCAUCAGGGCCUUGAUUGGGCUGGGACGGCCAAGAUGGCCACUUGUAUGGCUGUAGCACUGGUGCUAGCUCCCAGCUGGCUGCUGAGCGGGGACUGUGCCCUUGAUUCUCCUCCAUGUGGCUUCUCUGUGUGGUCUGGGCUUCUUAGAGCAUGGUGGCUAGGUUCUGAGAAGCAGCGUUUUGGGGAGUAGGAUGUGGGAGCUACCAGUCGUUUUAAGGCCUGGGCUUGGAAUCCAUGGUACAACACUUCUGCCAUGUUCUACCGGUCAAAGCCAGUCGUGAGACCGGCUCGGCUCCAGAGGGAGGGGAGAGAAGUGGCACCUCUUGCUGUGGGUAGAGCUUGUGCACUAAGGAGAGAGGGAGGCUGGCUCCCCCACACCCUUGUUAUCGUUGAUUGAGCACCUGCCAUGGGUCGGUCAAGCCCCUGAGUUGGGCAAGAAAGGGAGACACUAUUGUCUCUGCAAUGGAGGAGCUCAGUUCUCUCUGGAAGUUCAAUCCCAUUUUUGCAAAAGUGUCAACUCCUGUCCUUCCCCUUCUGAUGGUGUGUGAAAAUUCACCCUUGUACUGAGGGUAAGGUCACUGGGGACCAGAGUUCUUCAGAAGUUCUAAACUUCAUUAUCCAGACCUCAGAGGGAUUCCAUUUGUAGCAGUCCAAAACUAAGGACCUACAAUGCUCGCUAGGAACCCUCACAUGGAGAAUUGACCUUACUCUGAAACCUUGUAAUCUGUCACACCAUCACUUAAGCCCUGAAAUGCCUGGAAACUGAAUUGGGAUAGUUCCUGGCCUGGCAUAGUGGACUCCAAGUCUUCCCAUACCUUCUGUCCCUGCCCUGGCUUCUCUGAUGGUAACAAUGUCUGAAGAUAGAUACUGCCUCCAAAACUUCUCCUACCUGGGUGCUGUCAGAGUGGCUCAGGCUUCAUGGUGAACCCUCUGCUUAUAGGAGCAAGGAGAUGGUACCACUACCCUGGGGUUCUCCAGGAAUGGGUGACAUCGUUGAGCCAUGGGACCAAGCUUCUCUUUAAGAGUAACUCCUUCUUUUACAUGUAGCUGUCCAGUUUUCCCAGCACCACUUUUUGAAGAGGCUGUCUUCUCCAUUGUAUGUUCUUGCCUCCUUUGUUGUAAAUUAGGUGCCCAUAUGUGUGUGGGUUUAUCUCUGGGCAUUCUAACCUGUACCAUUGAUCAAUAUUUCUGUUUCUGUGCCAGUACCAUACUGUCUUGAUUACUGUAGCUUUGUGGUAUAGUUUGAAGUCAGGGAACCUGAUUCCUCUAACUCCGUUUUUAUUUUUCAAGAUUGCUUUGGCUAUUCGGCAUCUUUUCUGUUUCCAUAUGAAUUGUAAAAUUUUUUGUUCUAAUUCUGUGAAGAAUGCCAUUGGUAGUUUGAUAGGGAUUGCAUGGAACCAACCUAAAUGUCCAUCGACAGAUGAAUGGAUCAAGAAGAUGUGGCACAUGUAUACAAUGGAAUGUUACUCAGCCAUAAAAAGAAGUGAAAUUGAGUUAUUAGUAGUGAGGUGGAUGGACCUAGAGUCUGUCAUACAGAGUGAAGUGAGGCAGAAAGAGAAGAACAAAUACCGUAUGCUAACGCAUAUAUAUGGAAUCUAAAAAAAAAAAAAUUGGUACCGAGGAACCUAGUUGCAGGGCAGGAAUAAAGAGGUAGACGAAGAGAAUGGACUUGAUCACAUGGGGUGGGAAGGCGAAGCUGGGGCGAAGUGAGAGUAGCAUGGACAUAUACACACUACCGAAUGUAAAAUAGUUGGCUGGUGGGAAGCAGCCGCAUUGCACGGGGAGAUCAGCUCGGUGCUUCGUGAUGACCUAGUGGGGUGAGAUAGGGAGGGUGGGAGGGAGGCUCAAGAGGAAGGGGAUAUGGGAACAUGUGGCAUAGGGCUGAUUCUCUUUCUUGUGCAACAGUAACUAACACAGUAUUGUGAAGCAAUUAUACUCCAGUAAAGAUCUAUUAAAAAAAAAAAAAAGAGUAACUCCUGCCUUCUCUCUGCCCUCUCUCAUGCCACCCACUUCCUGCCAGCCCCCAGAAGAAGUCUUUCUGCUUGAUGUUUUGUAGCAAGUGGGAAACUAUCAAAUAAGCAUUUGCUUCUGAAUUAAUUUUUGGCAACGCAGGGCUCAGCGAGCCUCAUGCCACUUGCAUAUCCGUCCUUCGCGUCCUUGCCAAUUUCUGUGUUUCUUCCUCCUGACAUGUCCCCACCAGCACCCGGGGGAGGUUCUUCCACUUCCUCUUCGCUUCAGAAGGACAGAGACUGCUCUCACCUGGGGGAAGGGGAGGAGUAGAAUGUAUCUUUGAACAUACCCAGUGUUAGGUUUCUUUUUUAAGCACAUACAGAUGUUUGGGGCUGUACGUGCUGUCACGACCAUAGAGAACCUCACAGCAAACGCAGGGAAAAGAUCGAAAAAGAACAUUUUUUGUGGAUUAAUUGCUUCCGGUUGCAGAAGCCCAGUGAGUUGUAUGUAUCAAAUGGCUGCCCACGGCUCUUCCCAUGCCAAGUCUAGCCUACAGACACACCCAGAAAGGAUUUUCUUUUCCGCACGUACACAGCUCGAGUUGGAAAAAGUGAGAAGUGCUCUGUCAGGAAGCUGGCUGCGGAUUCAGCUGAGAGAGAGAGAGGUCCCUCGUCCAGGGGCCUUUCCCUUGCCACACACUUAUUUUUUGUGGUUGGCUUAAGACAGCAGCCCAAGAGCCAAUAUUCGAUAGGACAUCUCCCACCCCUUCCAGAAGAAGUCGCCGCAAGAAGGCACUGAGCGGGGAGCACGCUGGACUGGAGGCCACCCCGACCCCACUCUAGCAAGAGGUCCGUGUUCUUCCUAACUUUCCUUAGUGACUUCUGAGGAUGGAGUGCCUCUUAUGAACUUCUAAGCUGACCCCAGAUUCUCCUCUGUUGGCUUAUUAUACCUUGGUCCAGGGAUUGGCAAACUGUGGCCAGUGGGUCGAAUCCAGCCCGACGCCUGCUUUUGUAAAUAAAGUUUUACUGGAACACA